rnacentral:tRNA from 1 species
GAGGGCACAGCUCAGUGGUAGAGCCCAUGCUUAGCAUGCAUGAGGUCCUGGGUUCAAACCCCAGUACCUCCU